ACAGGUGCUGCAUGGCUGUCGUCAGCUCGUGUCGUGAGAUGUUGGGUUAAGUCCCGCAACGAGCGUAACCCUUGUCUUUAGUUGCCAUUAUUAAGUUAGGCACUCUAAAGAGACUGCCUCGGUUAACGGGGAGGAAGGUGGGGAUGACGUCAAGUCCUCAUGGCCUUUAUAUCCAGGGCUACACACGUGCUACAAUGGGCUGUACAAAGGGUUGCUAUCCCGCGAGGGGGCGCCAAUCCCAAAAAGCAGUUCUCAGUUCGGAUUGAAGUCUGCAACUCGACUUCAUGAAGGUGGAAUCGCUAGUAAUCGUGGAUCAGCAUGCCACGGUGAAUACGUUCCCGGGCCUUGUACACACCGCCCGUCACACCACGAAAGUCGACUGUA
rnacentral:rRNA from 1 species